UCUGACUCAAGAUCACAUAGGACACGUGCGCCUCUUUCCUGUGGCUUCUGUCCUUCUUUAGAGUGGUGUUUGGAAUACCACUGUGGGACAUUAAUACCUCUCAGUCCCUUGUUUGCUCUGGUUUCGGAUCUUUGGGAAGUGUAACAGCGUAAUCUACCCUGUUGAUGCCCUGCUGACAUCAGCGCUGAUCCUGGCUUUGAAGAGACCCCCAGAAGGCUGGAGAGAUGGCUCAGUGGUUAAGAGGACCCUGCAGCUCUCAACAGCCGUGACAGCUGCACACAGACACACAGGCAUGCUUCAGGCUCCAGGUCUGCCCAUCUCAACCCUGCCAAAUGCUGGGACUGCAAGCAUGCUCCACCAUGCCUGGCUUCUUGUGAAAUCUUG